rnacentral:rRNA from 1 species
GAUGAACGCUGGCGGCGUGCCUAAUACAUGCAAGUCGAGCGAACGGACGAGAAGCUUGCUUCUCUGAUGUUAGCGGCGGACGGGUGAGUAACACGUGGAUAACCUACCUAUAAGACUGGGAUAACUUCGGGAAACCGGAGCUAAUACCGGAUAAUAUUUUGAACCGCAUGGUUCAAAAGUGAAAGACGGUCUUGCUGUCGCUUAUAGAUGGAUCCGCGCUGCAUUAGCUAGUUGGUAAGGUAACGGCUUACCAAGGCAACGAUGCAUAGCCGACCUGAGAGGGUGAUCGGCCACACUGGAACUGAGACACGGUCCAGACUCCUACGGGAGGCAGCAGUAGGGAAUCUUCCGCAAUGGGCGAAAGCCUGACGGAGCAACACCGCGUGAGUGAUGAAGGUCUUCGGAUCGUAAAACUCUGUUAUUAGGGAAGAACAUAUGUGUAAGUAACUGUGCACAUCUUGACGGUACCUAAUCAGAAAGCCACGGCUAACUACGUG